AAUUGCUCCAGAAGUCGGCGUGCCAACCGCAAGGAGGCAGCCGCCCAAGGAGUGAUUGGUAACUGGGGUGAAGUCGUAACAAGGUAGCCGUAGGUGAACCUGCAGAAGGAUCA
rnacentral:rRNA from 1 species